rnacentral:lncRNA from 1 species
GGUGGACUGCUCUGAAGCCUCCUCCUGCCCUGCCCCCUUCUUCCCUCCCUUCCCAACUCAUCUCUCAAACUGCAUUGAAAACACCGAGGUGAGUGACAGUGAAGGCUAACUAGGAGAUGCAGCUUAGGGGGAAUUUAAUCCAAUUCAGUUGGAGAGACAUGCAUCUCCCUGUACCAUGAAAUUCCAUUUUGAUCUCAGCAUGUGCUGAUGGAGUAAUGAAAUAAAGACAACACUCUGCAAAUGGCUGGAUACAUUAAGUGAGAAGCAACUUGUAAAGCACCCAGGAAAAUAUCUGACACAUUGUGAUGCGACCUGAACAUUUCUGGUUCUACAGAGGACCCCUGCCGUUGGCCUAUCUCUUAACAGAUGUUUGCUGGGUGCUGGCCAUGUGUCAGGCACUAUGCUAGGUGCUGGGAGGAUUCCGAAACAAGAAAGCAUGCAAGAUUCCUGCCCUCCUGGGCCUUAAAGGAAAGUAGGGAAGCCAAACAUUAAAUAAAUAAUUAUACCAAUAAGUAUCUAAUUACAAGUUUUAUAAGUGUUAAUAACAAAAAUUGCAGGGUUUGCUACAAAGCAUGUAACUGAGGACCUAAUCUUGUAUUAGGGGCCAGCCAAAGUAGUUCUUUGAGGAGAUACAUUUAAUCUGACACCUGAUGGAUGAGUAAUAGUCACUAAAAUAAAAGCCAAAUAAAGAAUUUUAUACACUCCCAAAAGAGAUAUUUUACAGCUUUACAAGGCUCAAAUCCAACUAAUUCACCCCUGUCUCUGGGUAGUACUGGAUGUUCUAUUUUACCACUUAUGAGACAAUGCUUUGGAAAGCCAAAAACUAGGCAGUCACACUUGGUAUCUACCCUUCAUCCUUCCUGCGACAGUUUGAAGUGAGAGUUGAGUGUUCUGGAUGAUGAAUCUAAUUGCAACUUAUUCUGUGCUAAAACAUAGUUAUGGUCAAGGUAAAAUUACUAACCUUUGGAGAUAUUCAUAUUUAAGUACCCUCCAUGAACACUUGGGAGCAUCCAAAACAUCAAUGAAAAAGACAUCCACUCAGGAGAAACAAUCUGAUGGCCUCUUCAGAGUUUCAUGGAGCAGCAAGGACGAGAACUAAUAUAAAAUCCACUUGCAUCCAAUGAAAGCUAUCCACCCACAAGACAUACCAGUUAUGAUCUUCCUGGAGAGUGGUGUAGCAUCAUGAAUCUAAAACCUUAGAGAAGCUUACACAUGACCACUACACCUCCAGAAAUUACGCUUAUGGAAAGGAGCAGGCACAUGUAUAAAAUGCAUAAGGUUAGCUGCUGCUGUCUUGUAAUAUAGAGGAAAGCUGCCAAUAAAUGCAAGUGGUCAAAACUAAACCCUCAGCUCCAUGGUGCUCAAUGAUGGUAUCUUGGCAUUUGAGAUGGGUCCAUUCUCCUUUGCACAGGAUCAUCUGGUACUUUUUGGGAUGCUUAGCAUCUCAAGGACCCAUGCAUAGGCUAGUGGAGUCCCCUAGUCAUUUAGACAGUAAUUGCCCUCUCCCAAACAUACAUUUCCAAAUGCCCUCUAGAGGCAGUGGUACCACUCCAGGUUAGAACCUACCAAUAGAAAACUAUCGAACCAUUACAAAGGAUAAUCCAGAUCGAAAUAUACUGAUGCAGAAAAAUGUUCACAAUAUAAGGCCUAGAAAAGACAGCUCAAGAUAAGUGGAGAGCGUCAUCACAUUUUUGUCCAAAUCAAAGCAGAAAUAUACUCCUACACACAUAGAAACUUGAAUAUACAGGCUGAUAUGGUUUGGCUGUGUCCCCACCCAAAUCUCAUCCUGCAUUCCCAUGUGUUGUGGGAGGUACCCAGUGGGAGGUAAUUGAAUCAUUGGGGCAGGUCUUUCCCAUGAUGGCCUCGUGAUAGUAAGUCUCACGAGAUCUGAUGGUUACUAUAAGGAGGAGUUUUCCUGCAAAAGCUCUCUUUGCUUGCUGCCGUCCAUGUAAGACAUGACUUGCUCCUCCUUGCUUUCUGCCAUCACUGUGAGACUUCCCCAGCCAUGUGGAACUGUAAGUCCAGUUAAAUCUCUUUCCUUUGUAAAUUGUCCAGUCUUGGGUAUGUCUUUAUCAGUAGUGUGAAAACAGACUAAUGCACAGGCAAAAAGGUUGAAACACAAUUUUCCUUGGUUGGUGGAAUUGUGAGUGAUUUUUAUUUGCUUUCCUGGAUGUCUCACAUUUUUUCUUUUCUUUUUUAAUGAACAAGUCUCCCUUUUAUAAAAGAGGAAAAAGUUCUUUUUGGUUUAGAGAACAAAAAGCUGACCCUCCACAGCCAGCUGGUCAUGCAGCUCCAAUUCUCAUUUUGAUUUAGUGAAGAUGGCAGGAUCUGCCUCAGGGAUCUGCUCAAGCAACGUGGGAUCCCCACUUUUUCACUCUGCUGAAUACUCGACCAUAUUACAAGGCAACAACUGUUCUAAGCUGGAACUAGAGCAUGGUAGGUGCUCAAUAAAUGUUUGCUAAAUUGAGUCAUCCUUUUUUGUCUUGAUUGGGCCAGAAUUCUGCUGAGAUGUCCUCCAGUUUUUAACAUCACUUCCACCCAGUGAUCCUCCUAUUCCCCAGGAACAUUGGGUAACGUCUGGAGACAUGUUUGGUUACCUCAAAUGGGAAGUGCUUUUGGUAUCCAGUGGGUAGAGGCCAAGGAUGCUGCUAAGCAUCCUACACAAUGCAGAGGACAGUCACCACAGAAAAGAAUUAUCCUGUCCAAAAUGUCAACAGUGCUGAGGCUGAGAAAUCCUCUUCAUCAUCUGCCCUUCUUAUAGCUUGUUAAUUAUUUUCUAAGUUCCUAUUUUAAUAUUAUCUACUGUAAAUGUAUCAUCCUAGCACCUCAAAGAGAUACGGUAUACACUAUUCACUGUUUGAGUUUGAAAUGAAAUUGAAGCCUUAAGAAUGUCUUCAGACCAGGCGUGGUGGCCCAUCCUGUAAUCUCAGCACUUUGGGAGCAUUGCUUGAGGUCAGGAGUUCAAGACCAG